rnacentral:ncRNA from 1 species
CCUCGGGGUGCCGGUGCAAAUCCGGCUGAGAUGCGACAAUCGCGAACCCGUUGAACCUGAACCGGUUAAGACCGGCGGAGGGAAGGU